GCGCCUGUAGCUCAGGUGGAUAGAGCGCGGCUCUCCUAAGGCCGGCGUCGGCCGUUCGACUCGGCCCAGGCGCA
rnacentral:tRNA from 1 species